UAUAUAUCCAUAAAAACGAUACCAGCUGAUUCAUGAUGUUGACUUGUUGAGAAACGCUGCCUGCCUGUCUUGUCCCGACUCCUGACAUGUUCAUUACUAUGGGACAGCUGGACGUUGAAUUUGAAUAUUGAAACAAUGUUGCAAAUGUUGGAGAGACAGACAGCAAGGUUUAUACAAAUCUCCGCUGUUGCAAACGUAAUGUUAGUCUAAAGGAAAUGUGAGAUAAUGUCUAGAUGCUUUUUAUAGUGGAGAUUAAGUUUAUAAAUUGCUUGGCUGGGAUGAUGAGGCAGUGGAUUGCACAGUCAUAUGGAACAGAGUAAAUAGACAAUUUAACAUCAUAGAUUUAGCCGGUGGUAACUUGUGGAAUAGACACUGACUGGAAUGCGGUUUUAACCAAUCAGCAUUCAGGAUUAGACCCACCCGUUGUAUAAUGUGUAUAUAUAAGCAUGUAAAGGGAUGCCAUGUAUCUUAGCUCUUUUUAUAGAACAAGUCCAUUUCAACUAAAAGAGAGACUUCUGUUCUGUUGUCAUCUGCAAUGGCCCUGAGUAUUCCAUCCUCUGACUGAGAGGGGAUUUAGCUUAUGUUCUUCAAUGACAAUUGAGAACUGAGUCAGAUUCCCUUUCCCUGUGCUCAGCCAUGUCUUCUAAGUAUCAUUUCAAGCAGUUUGAAAACAAUUGGACCACAAAUUAGGCACAAUUGAAGUCAGUAGAUUUAAAGAAGGGUGUUGAUUGUCUCCUAUGAAAAGGAGGUGCUGGUAUUGUAUAUGAAUGGAAAUGAACAGUGAGUUGAGAUCUGACAACAUGUUUGGAAGACACCUGUCAGAACACAUGUGCCUCAUAAACUGUGAUUAUUGUGUCGACAAACACUUGAAUCUGAAGGAUGCCAACAACAAUUUCACUUGUUUCUUGACGAUGCCUCCAAACUGCCUUUCACAACGUGAACAUGAUCAGAAAUCCAGUACUGUAGCCCUUUUCUUGGACACUGUAAAGUUGGACUGGGUUUAACACAACUGUAAAUGUGAUGUGUUUCUUAACAGAAAGGAGAGAGGUCACUUUAAAUGCUGACACAGCGCUCAGUUAGAUUUAUCUUUUCUUUAGAAAUCAAAUAAAUCAUAAAUUGGCCACAGAAUCCACUCAGUAAAUGUUAAAUGUUAGAGAAAGUAUGUAUUGCACUGUAAUGAUUCUAUAUAACAGAGUGUCAUAUCUGUGUUCUACACAAUACAUUUCUACAUUCUGUAAUGUUUUUUCUUCUAGUAAUGAUCAGAUAAGACAAAAAGCAGACUGACUCUUUGACAUUUUAGGACUGGAGAUGUGCAUCUCUGGUUUAAUGCACAAAAUCCCCAGGAUUGAUGGCACAAGGUCCUCUAGUAGGUAUAAUGAUACUAUACAGUUCCAUAUGGACAGUGGUGGACUGGGACACUGUUAACUACAUAGAUAUUAGUUUGACCUUUGAAGACCAAGGUCCUCUAGUAGGUAUAAUGAUACUAUACAGUUCAUAUGGACAGUGGUGGACUGGGACACUGUUAACUAUAUAGAUAUUAGUUUGACCUUUGAAGACCAAGGUCCUCUAGUAGUUAUAAUGAUACUAUACAGUUCCAUAUGGACAGUGGUGGACUGGGACACUGUUAACUACAUAGAUAUUAGUUUGACCUUUGAAGACCAAGGUCCUCUAGUAGGUAUAAUGAUACUAUACAGUUCAUAUGGACAGUGGUGGACUGGGACACUGUUAACUACAUAGAUAUUAUUUUGACCUUUGAAGACCAAGGUCCUCUAGUAGUUAUAAUGAUACUAUACAGUUCAUAUGGACAGUGGUGGACUGGGACACUGUUAACUAUAUAGAUAUUAGUUUGACCUUUGAAGACCAAGGUCCUCUAGUAGGUAUAAUGAUACUAUACAGUUCAUAUGGACAGUGGUGGACUGGGACACUGUUAACUACAUAGAUAUUAGUUUGACCUUUGAAGACCAAGGUCCUCUAGUAGGUAUAAUGAUACUAUACAGUUCCAUAUGGACAGUGGUGGACUGGGACACUGUUAACUACAUAGAUAUUAGUUUGACCUU